CCUGUGCUCUGUCUCUCAAAAUUAAAUGAAUGUUAAAAAAAAAUUUUAAACAUAAAAUAAAAUAAAAUUCUCAAAAAGAUAGAAACUAAUCCAAAUGUCUUUCAAGUUCACUUUGAAAGGAGGGGCCUACGCCAGCCGACUCCAUCUUGUUCUGUGUCCUUCACCUAGACCACGCCUCCUCCCCUUGAGUAACCUCCCACUCACCCGUUCAAACUUCCUGAUCAAAACAAGCCAGCGACCUGCAUAACAGGACUCCGACUCUUCCCCAGCCAAUCAGCUGAGGCCACAGCCAUUACCUCACCAACUGCCCCUAGACCCCUAUAAAACCUUUGUGCUUUUGAAACUUGUUCUCUUUCUCUGGUAUCUCACCACUGCGUCGGUGCAGGUAGGGGAUUGAGCUCGAGCUAGCUCGAAUAAAGACUCUUUUGCUUUUGCAUCGGACUUGGCUCCCUAGUGGUCUUUGGGGAUCACGAAUUCUGGGCAUAACAACGCGAUCUAGGGUAAUCUUCAGUAAAUUAAAGUUUAAACUCAUUGGUUUAAUUAAAAUAGGCAUGUCUUUAGAGUUAACAUCAAAUAUAAAACUUCUUUUCCACUUGAGUUUACUAGCCAAAUAAGUUCAUGUUAUCUCUGAUAAGAUCUGCCAAAAAAAUAGCUUGGGAUAAUGACUGGUUUUGUCUAAUGUUUAAUAAAGCUUUUGUGUGUAAUCUAAACAAUUCUCCCUUUUUUUCAAUGUUUAUUUUUGAGAGCGAGAGAGUGCAAGCAGGGCAGGGGCAGAAAGAGGGGGACAGCAGCGAUCCCGAUGUGUGGCUUGAACUCGUGAACUGCAAGAUCAUGACCUGAGCUGAAGUCGGAUGUUCAAUCAACUGAGCCACCCAGGGGUGGGAAGAGGAAAAGAAAGCUGGAAAGGAGCCAGAGAGGCAAGAGGCAAAGAGGAGCUUACAUUCCUGUGGAGGGAGACAGGUAAUCAAGAAAGAAACACAAAAGGGCAGAUGCUGACAAGUGCUCUGGAAAACAAAACAAAACAAAACAAGAUGCACUCUUGGAAUGUCUGCCCUGCCAGACAAAGGACUUCUCUACAGCCCAAAAUCACUGGCUUCAGUUUGGGUCAGGACUGGCAACCUAGUCUCAGUCUCAGGUGAAGAAAAACAGGGCCAGGGUUGGCAGAAUGGUGCAAGGAGUCGAGGGCUCUUUAACUUCUCCCCGUCCCACCUCCAAACGGGGCCUUUUUUCCUGGCAAGCUCAGGUCCUACAUGGUCAGAGCAGGGCCAGGGUCACAGCCAAUCACUAUCUCCUUCCCUCUUAGGUAACAGAGAAGAGAGGCCCAGUCUAGCCUUGGGUCCAAUGAGAAUGAAACCUUGAAGUGGCUUAUUUGGACCAGAGACUGGAGCUAGUUUCUACCCUGCCAAGAGGCAGGGAAAGGUUCCUUCUCCAGAGCUUGGAGAUGCCAGCCUUGCGGAUUCCCAAAGGUCUGUGGCUCUGUGUCCAGCCUCCUGCUCCAGAGCCCCAGGCAGAGUCCUGGAGACUAGACACAACCAGCCAAAGGCUCUGGGAGACCACAGGGGCUGGGGACGAAGCUCCUGGCCCAGAAGCUGUGGCAGAGAGCUGUGUAUUAGCUGCAUGGCCUCUAAGUGGCAGGAGCGAGAGGCCAGGAAGGAAGGGGAGGUCCGGAGCAAGGACUGCUGGACCAGGCUUGUGGCAACCACUCUGCCACGCUCUUCCCCGGGCCGUGCAGCUUAACUCUCUUCACACUCGUGAGGCAGGACUAUGUCCAACUUAAUAGAUAAUAAAUCUGAGUCUCAGAGAGGUCACACAACUUUCCCCAAAACACACGAUCUACAGACUCCAGAGCCUGUUCAGACACCGAGGCUGCUGGGAAGAGGCCCCUGCAGCCUUGUCAAGGGCCCCAGCUACCUGUGUGGAGCCUGUGGUCAAGCUCACGCCUAACAUCCAAGUCGUGUCUAUCAUGAGGAGUUACUGGACAGUUGAAUGUCAAGUGACUUCACCCCUUACCCUCACUCCACCCCCGUCUCCUACAGGGACCCCCACCCUUCUGCCCUUCUCACCCUAAGCUGGCCACAUCCCAAACCCAUCGGAUAAUGGGUUUUACUAAUACAAAUGCAUUCCAAAGGGAGGGGGGUCCAGCCCAGUCGUAGCUACCACAGCUGCUAGAGGUUUGUCCCAACCUUUAGUGCUUUGGGCUUCUUUGUCUGCCUCCCACCAACAUUCCCUCUCCUUUCUGCAGCAGAUUCCCACGCCAUUGGAGCCUAGCAUAAGGAACAGUCCCCAGCUCGUCACAGCUUUGCUGCGCCCCCACACCUCAUCUCCCCUCUCCCUGACUGCCUCCUCCUCACCAGCGUGGGGAUUUGGCUGGAGUAGCUUGAGCUUUGAAUUUUAGAACAAAUCCAGAGAACCCAGUAGCCCAGGGGGACCUGGGAAGGGGCUAACAACACCGGAGGUCAUGUGACUGCCUUUGCCUUCUUAUUGCUCCUCAGGCUUUGCUUAGCACUGAAUUGGGGCCCCUGCCCUCCAGAGCCAAGGGGUAGGGGGUGGAGGGCAGCACAACCACAAAUAAUACCACAUAAGAAACUCUAGAGCUGACCUAGGCAUACAGCCCCAUGUUUUGCUUGGCGAGCGAUCCACACCACAGAACAGGGACAUGCUGGCUGCUUAGUCCGCACUGAAGGGUGAACUCGCCUUCAACUUCUCCGUGCCUCACAUGAUGAUCGGCCUGCACCAUCCCGACCUAUUCCAGGGUGGCUGGAAAGCUAUGAAUCAAACAACAGAUGGGACAGUGCAGGGGCACCUCCUGGUCUCUAUGGUUACCAAGAGCAGCCUUGCCACGGAGAACCUGGAGUGUAAACAGCAGGAACCGGUCUGGUCUGCGGCUGCCAUGUCUGGAAGGAGGCCUCACACAAGGGCAAGGGAGGAAAGGGUGGGGCCCCUGCAGGCUCCCCAGGCCAGAAGGAGGAACUUCUUUACCUGAAAACAAAUUUCCCAGAGAAAGAGUCAACUAGAUGUGAAUGUGCCUUUCACAUGUGCUCGUUCCCCAUUUAAUAAGGAAGUUCUGUGAGAAGAAGCAGUUGCAGCCUCGAGAGGUGAAAUUCUGCCCUGGAAAAUAAGACGGGUGAACUGCUAAGUCCAGAAUGAAGACCAGACACCAGGAAGCCUGAAGCCAAAUGUCCUCAAGCCAAACCUUGGAGCAGCCAGAGGCAGGAGCGAUCAGGCAGGGGACAGCCAUCCAGAACAUUCUGGAAUCACCAUCUGAGGAGCAGAGGGGAGCUGUGUGUGCAGCCAGCCGUGGUCAGACAGAGGAAAUGCAGGGUCUGGCUGCUGGCCAUUCUUACCCUCGCUCCCACCAUCAGGAUCUCUGGCCCCAUCCUGACCCCUGGUGGCUGCCCAUGGGAUGAGAGAGACAGAGCAUGAGCAUGGGAGGGGCAGAGAAAGAGGGAGACAUAGAAUCUGAAGCA